rnacentral:rRNA from 1 species
CCUACGGGAGGCAGCAGUGGGGAAUAUUGCACAAUGGGGGAAACCCUGAUGCAGCAACGCCGCGUGAAGGAAGACGGUUUUCGGAUUGUAAACUUCUGUUCUUAGUGAAGAAUAAUGACGGUAGCUAAGGAGCAAGCCACGGCUAACUACGUGCCAGCAGCCGCGGUAAUACGUAGGUGGCAAGCGUUGUCCGGAUUUAUUGGGUUUAAAGGGAGCGUAGACGGUGUGGCAAGUCUGAUGUGAAAGGCAUGGGCUCAACCCCGGGACUGCAUUUGGAACUGUCAGGCUAGAGUGUCGGAGAGGAAAGCGGAAUUCCUAGUGUAGCGGUGAAAUGCUUAGAUAUCACGAAGAACUCCGAUUGCGAAGGCAGCCUGCUAAGCUGCAACUGACAUUGAGGCUCGAAAGUGUGGGUAUCAAACAGGAU